AAUAUUUUUAUUUUAUAGUUUACAAUUGUUAUUAAGUAACGUCCUGCCAAACUCGUCCCGCCAAUCCGUCCCGUAAAAAACUCAUUUAUUUUAUUAAUGUUGAUCUUAUUUAUGAUAUGUUUAUGAAUUAUUGUCUAAAUAUUUUGUAAUUUUGUAGUACUUAAAUGCUAUCAAAUAUCUCUCCGGUUUGAUGAUUAUAAUCGAAUUGUUAUAGUCAUGGAAAAAAACAAUAUCAAAAAUGAUAAUUUUGUAGUAAUUAAAUGAUAUUAAAUAUUUUGGAAGUUUUAUUUUAGUAACUAAUCGUGUAGUUAAUGUGGAGAGAUUUAGGGAAGAUUGUUAAGUGUCAAAUAUUUAAUUCGAAAA
rnacentral:sRNA from 1 species